AGCUGUGGGCCCCGAGGGAAGUGGGAAGCUGCGCUGCUAGGCCGCGGUUUCCGCGGGUGCAGCUGCCAGCGAGGCCCCUGCGCGGCUCCUCCGUCAGGUUCGGAGCUGAAGCAUUGAGUCAGAGGGACCGGGCGCCCGGAGCGGCCCGGCAGCGGCUCAGCCGCAGCACCCGCUGGGCUGGGCCCGGGCAGCGUCUCCGGACCUCUCUGUGAGGAGGCGCUGUUUCCCUCCCGGAGCACUUUCCCGAGGGCGCGGGCCUCGGGAGCGCGGGCUGCGGCGUGGAGGGCGCGCGGGUCGCCCGGGUGGUGGUGGCGGCAGAAAGGGGCUUGAGGGACGGGAAGGCUCGGGGAAUUCGAGGGAGAGGACGCCAGGGGGCUUUGGAGCUCAGCGCUGUGAGGAUGAGAGCACUGACAGGACCGCCCUCAGCUUCUCCGGACUCAGGUGCCUCCUCAGACAAGUCUUUCCUGCAGGAUCAUUGACUUCAGAUGAUCCAUCUGCUGAUGGAGUUCAUCAAGGAGGUUCUCCAAAAUGGUCCCAUUCCACAUAGUGUUGGAGAUGUUUUUUCUGAAAAUACCGAAGAUGUUCUUAAGCAUCUCUUGGAUGACAAGAUCAGCCUUCUCCUUCUGGAACUGCUGUGGUUGCUUGAUCUCUUCUGGAAAUUUGAAAUCGAUCCUGUCCUGGUGGCAGUUUUCAGGCUUUCUUUUCACCUGCUUGAGAAGCUGCAGACAGGCCAAACUGCUGCUGCGUUGUUGUUGCUGGAGUUGAAGCAAGUUGUAACUUAAGGAAAGAGAUGUCAUGAAGGACAGCAGGAGAGCGAUUUGGAGAAUACAUCUGAUGGCCAUGAUGAGAACAGGAAUGGUGUUUUCUGUUACCUGCACGGUGGAGCAAAGUCUCAAAAGUCUGCAGUGUGUGAGUGUCCUUCCUCCAUGGGUGCAAUCUGUUUAUAUGGGAUGGUGCUCUCUGUUUCAUAGGAAUUUCCUGCUUUCUGUUCUCCCUUUCAGUUUUUCUGUAUCAUUUUUUUCUACAUUUGAUCACAUUUGUGGCUCCAUUUGCAGUAAUAAUCUGAAUACAGUUGGUAUAUAUUGUUACAUUUGUAACAGUUAACUCACAACUGCCUGCUUGCAAGGCAGGUGCUUAUGCUGCUGAGCUAAAUUCCCAGCCCCUCCUUUUUCACAUAUUAAGCACCCUUGCUUAAAAUUCUUCUUCCCAUGGCCUAGGAUUUAGCUGAGUCUCAUAGGCGCCUUGCAAGUGCAAGGUUGUGAGUGCUAUCCUAGGUACCAAAACCAAACAAACAACACCAAAAUUUCUCUUCUGGUCUUUGUAACAUCACUACUAUGUUUUUUCUAUUGUUUUGCUUUGUCUCUUAGUGUGUCUUACCAUUUUCCUACUAAAUUAGGGUUUUAAAAAUGUGUUGGGAUGGCUUAGAAAAAAGUGUUAGAUAGUCCUAUGAUUAAGUCUCAGUUUUGUUUUGCUUUGGUUUAACUUUUAUUUCCUUGUGUUUUUGGUCUGCUUAGUGAGCUUUAUUUUAUAGAAAAAAGUAAAACAAACUUUCAUAAAAAAGUAAUAGGGGAAUAACAAUUGUUAACACAUUGUGUAUUUGUAUCUUUACUUACUCAGAAUAUUUUUAGUUAAUCAGUGUACAUGACAUGGACCUAAAAUAUUCUCCUAAAAGAUAUUAGUACCAAGCCUUUUCUUUACAAAGGACUAAGAGAAACUAGUAUAACUACUUAAAAAAUUUUUUUUCCAUUUCCUCGUGGCUCAGGUUCUUAGUGAGUCUAUGCCACUGAAGUGUGAAGUUUACCAGUGUUUGUCUGAACAUCUCCAUCCCUUACCUCCAUUUCUCUUUCCCUUAACCUUGGAGUGUGUCCCUCACCCACAUGGGAAAGGUCUGCUGUUGGUGUUCCUUUCAGUGUAGUCAGUUGGCCUCUUGUAAUACCUCCAGCAGGUAGGGCUGUGAGUAGCUACUUUCUCCCCAGGGCAAAUAUUGUUAGGAAGAAUGGGAUACUACACAAUGGCCCCCUCCAACUGGAAGCACGAGGAAACUUUUCUUUGAUGUUUCAACUCUAAGAGCAUAAGAGUCUUUCUAUAACUAGUUCUUCUAAAGUUUCAAAGUCGUCAUUUUAAACCUUCAGCGAUUUUCAUUUUCUGUUCACAUUUCUCUAACUUCCUACUGAAUGUGCAGUGUUUUCCAAAUGCAAGGUCCUGUUUCCAGGCAGCUGUGACUCCUGAUUCUCAUCUGUUUGUCUCUGAGAUCUUGGAUAUUCAUUCAGAAUCCCAUUGAGAACAUAAAGUUCUUCAAUAUUAAGUAAUAUAUAUGUUAAAACUAAAGUCGAAGGAGUAUAUGUUGCCAUUUUAGGAGGUAUUCUUAAAUAUGAAAAAUGUUCUACUAUUGCCUUAAUAAAUUUGGUGUUUUCUGAGAUUCACUCCAAGAUAUUUUAUCCCAUCAUAUUUUAUACUUUGUUAUGGAUUGUUGUAGUUACUUUUUGCUCAUUGCUGAGACAAAAUACCUGAAGCCCAAGUUGGGAAAGAAAGGUUUAUUUCUUACAGGUUUUGGAGGUUUCACUCCACACUCAGUUGAUUUCAAGGCAGGCGGGCAUGGCUGGGCCGCCGUUCAUGGUGGCCACCAAUAGGAAACAGGAACUGGCAAAGAGCAAGACACACUUUCUUCCUGCCAUUACAUCACAUCCUGGCUCCACCCCUUUGUGGGUGGAGCUCUGACACCAUCAAUCUAAGCCCUAGACAAUGAAGAAAUAAUAAAUGCACAAUUCAAACUCAUGAAGCCUGGGGGACACAGACGUAAACCAUAACAUGGAUGUAAUCAUGAACAAAAAUCAAUUUCAACAUGUGUUCUAAUUUUGAAUAGGAAUAAUGUGCAUUCCUGUAUAUGGUGGUUAUUUUUGAACACAUUUUAAUUUUUCCCUUCUAAUAUGGCAAAUGUUCAUACAUAGAAAGAGAAUCAAAGGUUCUUUGUAGUCUCCAUAAUUUUAAAGAUGUUUUAAGGUUGUGUCAAUUCUUAGUGAAUCCAAAGGAUUUGAAAAUUACUGGUGUUGGUAACAAUUACAAGUACCUCCUUUGAUGGUUAACUGGAGAUGAGUAUUGUGGGCUUUUGGUGUAAUAUUACAGUGUAUUCUUUAUUCCUUGUCCUGUUUCAAUCACAGUAGAAUAGUGUGGUGUUUUUCUGAGCAGAGAUACUCACUGUGUUGGCUCCUAACUAUACUUGUACACCUAGUGUAAAAUCUGUCCCCUCUCGAGAGACUAUGCCAAUAUGGAUGCCAAGUAAUAAUUAUAUAGAAGUGUACAUAGAGCCCAGUUGAAAACCAAUACCCUCAGGCUUAGGAUUUAGCUCAUCAGGAUAAUCACCUGCCUGGCAAGACCAAGGUCAUGAGUUCCAUCCCAAGUACAAAAAGCAAAACAAAACAAAUGAAAACAAAACAAUCCGAUUCCCUCUACACUAAUGCAAUGUGUGGGAAUUUCAUAAAAAUUCCUAAUAAAACUGGAAAGUUUGCUCAGCUGUGGAGAGUUUCUGUAAAACUCGAGAGCCACAAGCAAAAACUUAUAUUCCACAGUGGGAAGAAUAUAUCUUUUGAUUUCCACUUGCUGACUCGCUCACCCUUCCUUAGUGCCAGGCUGCUCCUACCAAUACUCUGGUUUCUCCUUAACCACAGAAAUGAUCAGACGUUCGAAGAGAGAAUCUCCCAUCAACUGUGAAGAGGCAGACCUUGCAGGCAAGACCUAUGUGCUGUUGUUUUCAAACCCUGUAUUUAACCCUGCCCACAACCCAGUUGUCUUGAUUCAGACCUUCAGUUAGAAUGACUCUCACUGUCUAGCGUGGAUGUUUGCUUCCACAGUGAAGACCAUAAGUAUGAGGGACAAUCACCUUUCUAAGGGAUGAUUGCUCCUGCUGUGGGAUGUACUGGAGUCUCAGCUUGGCAAUCUUUGCUGGAAUCCAAGGAGAAUGCAGAUGCACAGCAAUAACUAGAGACUUCUAGGAGCUCAAUGGAGUGGAUAAAAAAGCUGAUAGAUAUAUGUUCCUCUGAAUCUAUUAUCAAUGAGUUUUCAGUGAUGAGGUGGAAAUGAGAUAAUUUGAUUAAACUUAUGGGUAAUAAACCCUUGCUAUGUUUUGGACACACUUAUUUGUCUGCCCUUAUAGAGAGUUGAACAGAGGUCUGACUCAUAGUUUUAAGGUAAUAAAGGAUACAAAUACAUUAGAAAAGCAGUAAUGGCAUUUUUUAAAUGUACUUCUUAGACACUUGUAGAUCCAAAUGGAAAGUCACUGUUUGUUAAGAAAAACAGCUUUUAAUGUUCUGAAUGUCUCUAAAGAAAAAAGAAGUCAUGAUUCAUUCACUAGGUAAGAACUGCUUGUUUUCUGUUCUUUGUGAUCUCAAUCGUUUUGCUUUCUCAUCUGAUCUAUUCAUAGAAGCCAUCAUGGCUUUAAUCAUGCACCUAUUUCUUGAGGUUGAUUUGGGAGAAUGAGGGAAUAGCAAAAUAACACGUACCAUAAUUUUAAUGGGCCAUGAAAUACUUUGUCAUGUUCUGAGUAACAGUGAGAGGUUUACCUGUACACUGUCCCAUUGUGGCCUGUGACUUUUUUUUUUUUUUCAUUUUUCUUCCUGUUAAUUACAGGAUCCUGCUUCUAAUAGAUUAGUUUGCCAGGGCCUGUAUGUAAUGUCUCAUUGUGAAGGUGAAGACCUGCUAUCCCAAAAUAUGACUUUGUGAAAAUUGAGAAAACCUCAGAAGUUAGGUGAUCCAACCAUUUGCAAGAAAUACAUUUAACUGAAAAAGAAACUGAUGGACUAAAAGUCAAAGGAUGUAAAAUGAUGAUCUAUGCAAUAGUUUACCAAUUCUGUUUGUAGAUAAUUUGAACUUCCAACCAAAAAUGAUCAGAAGAGAUAAAGAAGGUCACUGAAUAAUUUUCUGAUGGGAAAGUUCAAGAGGAAAUUAUAACAAUCAUAAAUAUGUGUGCACCAAAUAUGAGAGCACCCAACUAUACAAGACAGAUCUUAAUGUGCAUGAAAAAUGUGCAGUAACACAAUUGUAAAAGGGACCUUCAUAUGCCAUUGUCAAAAAGAGAUAGUUCGAGUACACAAAAGGCAAAUAAAUCCCAACAGAGUCAAGUAUGUGAACAAAUGGACUUAAUAGGCAUUUAUAGGCCAUACCCAGCUUGUCUAAGUGGCUAGUAGGGCCCUGAAUCAAAUCUAGGGAGCUGAAUAUGUGUGAGUUGAUUCCCAGCCCAUGGAGGAAGCUUUGGAAUGUGGCUGCCAGCAGGUAAGACCAUGCCCAGUGACCCAAGUCACCAGAGGAUGCACAAGACAUUCCAGUAGGGCUAAUGGGCCACAUCCAUUGACUUACAAGAGGCUAGAAGGGAUCUGCCUUCAGUCCCAGGUUCCAAAAUUGGGCCAGGUGAUCUGGAGCACAUGGGGAAGAUUUGAAACAUCACUUGAAACCAGAAAUAUAGGAAAAUGACAAAAUGAAAGAGCAAAAUGCAAUCUCAAACUUCCAGCCCAAUCUUCUUAGCAAGCCUAGGAGAUAUUGACACAGAAGAAAAUGUAAGCCAUACACCUGAAAUUCCUGAAAUGAUUAGAACAGAAGUAAAGAAAAAAAUGUGGGAAAGUAUAAAAGAACUCAGAUCAAAAAUAAUCUCUCAGAUAAAAGAAGAAAUGAUAAAUGAAAGAACUGCCAACCACAUCUAAAAAACACAUAGUUUAAAAAUUACAGAAACACCACCAAAAGAUAGAAACCUUGAAUGAACAAUAUAAGAAACAAACAGAAUGCAUGAAACAAAUUCAAAGAGAUGUACAGGAAAUCAAAAAUUCCUUUGAAAGUUGUCAAAACCCCCUCAACAAAAGUGAAGGUAGAAUUUCACCUUGAAGUCAAGAUUGCAGCUAGUGAACAGGAAAGGAAAGAUCUUUUAAAAAUAACAAGAAAUCAGAAAAUAACAGUUCAACACCUGGAGAAUGAUGCAAAGAAAAGCAACAUAAGAUUGAUAGCUAUAAAUGAAAUAGAAGGUGACCACACACAUGAUAACAAGAGGCUAUUUACAGAAGAAAUAGCUGAAAAUUUCCCAAACAUGAGAAUGGAAAAUGACAUAAAGAUCAGUGAACAUAUAGAACUUCAAAUAGCCAUAACCAAAAUGAAACCAAACUAAAACAUGUAAUAAGUAACAUCCUGGAAAUCCAACAUAAGAACAGUCUAUUAAAAGCUGCUAGAGAGAAGAAAAAGAUCACCUAUAAAGGAGAGACUAUCAGAAUCACAGCACACUUCUCAAAAGAAACAAUGAAGUCAAGAAGAGAGAGCAUGGAGUGAGGUAUUUCAGAUCCUAAAGGAAAAUGAUUUCCAAUCCAAACUGAUGUACCCUGCAAAAUUGUCCUUCAAAAUGGAUGGAGAAAUAAGAUAUUUCCAGGAAAAAAAAGCUGAAGAAUUUCAUGACCACCAAACCAAUCAUGCAAAGAAUACUGAAAGACACUCGAUAGACAUGGGGAAAAUCCACUAUGCAAGACAAACAAGUGAAACAGCAGAAAGAUAACAUAUCAAAACUAAACCAACAUGUAUCAGUUGUAACCAUUAAUGCAAAUGGCCUCCAUUCACUAAUUAAAAGAAACAGACUGGCAGAAUGGAACAAGAAACAAAAUCCAACCAAAUACUGUCUACAAGAAACCCAUCUAACGCAAGGAAAAGUCUUAGAAAGUCCCAGAGUGGAAAACAAUACUUCAUGCAACAGGAAUCUCCUAAAAAAACCAUGGAUAACUAUUCUAUUUGCAGACAAUGUGAACUUCAAGAAUGACGCAAAGAGAUAUAGAUGGUCAGUACAUACUAUUUAGGGGAAAUCUUCAAGAGGAAGAGAACAAUCUUAAAUACAUAUGCACCAAAUUUGGGAGCACCUAGCUAUAUAAAACAAAUAUUAACAGAAAUGAAAAAUCACAUAACCAAUAAUACAAUUAAAACAGGAGACCUUAAUACACCAUUGCCACAAAGGGACAGAUCAACUAGACAGAAAAUCAACCAAAAAAUAGCAGAAGUGAAUCACACCUGUGAACAAAUGGACUUGGUGGACAUAUACAAAGUGUUCCACCCAACAACAUCAGAAUAUACAUUUUUUCAGCAGCACGUGGAACGUUCUCUAAAAUAGACCACAUCUUAGCCCACAAAAUAUGCUUAUGUAAAUGCAAAAGGAGAAAUUAUUCUAUGCAUGUUAUCAGAUCAUGGCACCAUGAAACUAGGAAUUAAUGACAAAAGAAACUGCAAAAACCCUAGAAACAUAUGGAAAUUGAAUAAUACACUCCUGAGCACUCAGUGGGUCACAGAGGAAAUUAAAGAGGAUACUAAACAAUAUCUACAAGCAAACAAAAAUAGAAAUACAUCUUACUGGAACUGUGGGACACAAUGAAAUCAGUCUUCAGUGGAAAAUAAAUUGCAUUCAAUUCCCACAUCAGGAAAACAGAAUGAACACAGAUAAACAACCUGAUGCUACACCUCAAACAUCUAGAAAAAGAAGAGCAAGACAAGCCCAAAGCCAAAAGAAGGGAGGAAAUUAUAAAGAUCAGAGUAUAAAUCAAGGCAGUAGAGACUAAGAAAACAACCCAAACAAUCAAUGAAUCAAAGAGUUGGUUCUUUGAAAGAAUAAAAAAAUUGAUAAAAUUGAUAAGCAUCUAGCCAACCUUAUUUUAAAAAGGACAGAAAAAGUUCAUGCAAUAAGGAAUGAAAAGCAUGAAAUCACUAUAGACCUUCUGAAAAUACAGAAGAUCAUCAAUACCUACUUUGUAAACCUCUACUGCCAUAGAUUAGAUAACAUAAGAAAUGGACAGAUUGCUAGAAAAAUGAACUACCAAAGCUGGAUCAAGAAGAUGUAAAACUGCUGAAUAUCCCAAUUUCAAUUAAGAAAAUUAAAAAUGUAAUUAAAUCCUUGCCAACAAAGAUAAGACCAGGUCUAGACUGAUUCACUGUGGAAUUUUACAAGAAAUUAAAAGAAGAUUUAAUGUUGACACUCCUCAAACCCUUCAAUGAAAUUGAAAGGCAUGUAAUUGUCCCUAACUCAUUCCUGGAAGCAAAUAUUACUUUAAUCCCAAAAACUUGAGAAAGACCCAACCAAAAAAGAACACUACAGGUCCAUCUCCCUUAAUGAAUGUGGAUGCAAAAAUUCUCAAUGAAAUUUUGGUAAACAGAAUGCAGCAAAUCAUCAAGAAGAUUAUUCACCAUGAUCAAUGUGAUUCAUCUCAGGAAUGCAGGAAUGGUUCAACAUAUGCAAAUCAAGAAAUGUAAUGAACCACACCCAUAAAGCCAAAAGUAAGAAUCACAUGAUCAUUUCUAUAGGUGCAGAAAAAACUUUUGAUAAGGUCCGACACUAAUUCAUGGUGAGAAACUUACAGAAAAUUGGAAUACAUGGUCUUCACCUCAAUAUGAUAAAACCCAUCUAAGACAAAUCAACAGCCAGCAUUAUAUUAAAUGUCCAAAAACUGAAAACCUUUACCUUAAAAUCAGGCAUAAGACAAAGAUGUCCAUUACACCACUCCUAUUCAUUAUAGUGCUGGAAGUACUAUUUAGAGCAAUUAAGAGAGAACAAUAAAAGGAGUAAGUAUAGGAAAAGAAGAAGUAAAAUUAUUAUUUGCAGGUGACAUGAUACUCUACAUUAAAAAACUCCAAAAUUCAUUGAAAUACUCCUAGGUAUAAGAAAUAAAUUCAGUAAUGUAGCAGGAUACAAAGUCAACACUCCAAAAUUAAUAGUAUUCCUCUACACUAACAAUAAAAUUAUUGAGUGAGAAAUGAGAGAAGCCACACCAUUCACAAUAGCAUCCAAAAAAAUGAAAUACUUAGAAAUCCAUCUAACAAAAGUAAAAAAUCUGUUCAAGGAAAAUUAUAAUACCCUGAAAAAAAUCGAAGAGGAGCUCAGAAAAUGGAAACAUGUCCCUUGUUCAUGGAUAAGAAGAACAAACAUAGUGAAAAUGGCCAUUCUCCCAAAAUUGUUAUACAGGUUCAAUGAAAUACCAAUCAAAAUACCACUAGCAUACCUCACAGAUUUAGAGAAAUCACUCUUAAAAUUCAUCUGGAACAGAAGAGACCUAGAACAGCAAAGGCAAUUCUAAGUUACAAAGUUAAGGCAGGAGGCAUCAAAAUCCCUGACUUGAAGUUAUACUACAAAGCUACUGUAAUAAUGUCAGCAUGGUACUUGAAUAAAAACAGACCUGAAGAACAAUGGAAUGCAUUAGAAGAUUCAACUACAACUACAAACACACUCAGCCACCUUAUCUUUGAUACAGGAGCCAAACAUGUCCACUGGAAGAAAGAUAGUCUGUUCAAUAAAUGGUGCAGAAAAAUUGGCUCUCUAUAUGCCGAAAACUAAAACCCAUGCCUAUCUCCAUGUACUAAGCUAAACCAAAUGAAUCAAAGAUCUAAAUAUUAACAAAACACUAAAUCUGUUGGAAGACAAAGUAGGACGAAAUCUUGAAGUCAUAGGAGUAGGCAAAGAAUUCAUGAACAAAUACUUCACAGAAUCAGUAACUGGGAUCAUGACAUAUUUAAAAGUUUCUGCAUAUCAAAAACAUGUUCAGCAUAGUCAAAAGAAAAUCCACAAAUUGGGAAAAAAUCUUAGAGAACUGUCCCUCACACAAAGGAUUUCUAUCUAGAACAUAUAAGAAUUUAAAAAACACCAGAUCCCUGAAAUUAAAAUACCCAAUCCAAAAAUGGUCAUCUGAAAUGAAUACAGAGUUAGAUGAAAAAAUAAAACUGUCAAAUAAAUGCAUGAAAAAAUGUGCAUCAUCAUUGGUCGUUAGAGAAAUACAAAUUAAAACCACACUGAAAUUGAAUCUCACUGCAGAGAGAAUGGUCAUGAUCUAGAAAACUGCCACUAACAAAUUCUGGCAAGGUUGCGCCUCAAAAGAAACUGUUCUGCACUAUUGGUGGGAGUGGAGACUGAUGUAACCACUGUGGGGGUCAGUCUGGAGAUUUCUCAGAAAGCUGUCUUUUGAAGUCCCAUUUGAGACAGCUAUUGCACUUCUUGGCAUAUUCCCUAAGUGCAUCCAUAUUUAUAGCAGCAGCACUAUUUAUAAUAGCCAGAUGUUGGAAACAACCUAAAUUCUUAUCAACUGAGUAAUGGAUAAAAAAGUGGUAUUUUUAUACAACGGAGUAUUACUCAGCUGUAAAGAAUGAUCACAUUGAGGUAUUUAUAAGUAAAUUGAUACAACUCAAGACCAUAGUCAUAAGUGAAAUAAACUAUCAUGUGUAAAUACUGUAUAGUCUCCCUAGUGUAAGAAAUGGUACAUACGUAAGGUACAAAAUACUCAGCAAAUACAGUAAAAGGACAAGAAUCUGCAUAAAGGGGAAAAAUAAUAUCUCAGGGAACAUGAGGGAAAAAAAAGGAAACUAAAAAAAUGUAAAAUUAUAUAAACACACUUAGGAUAUUUAAGAUCAUUGUGCUACAAAUUCUAUGGUCUUGGAGCAAAACAGUUAACAUUCAUAGGAUUGGAACCAUUGUGCAUAUUACUGUAUGGCGAUCUGAGGAACUCUUGCGGAUCAUCAUGUAAAAUAACAACCUUAGUUAUGCUCCUACCACCUUGUUUUGAAGAUGUAUAUUGUCAGUGUUUUGAGCACUUUGCUAUUGUUAUUUAUUUAUUUUGUUUUGUUUUGUAUUUUUCUAGGCAUUUGUUUUGUUUUUCCAUCUAAUGCAGAAAGGAUAGAUAGAUAUACAUGUAGAGGCUCAUACAUGUAUGUAACUUCUAAGUAGUUUAUGAACUUCUAAGCAGUUUAAUUCAUUAUAUAAUGCAUGGUGAAAUGAACAGCUGCUAUGAAGAAAACUAGAUACUAUGGUAUCCAGUGCUGAUUUCGUAAGGUCAUGCUGUGAAAUCCAGUAAUACUAUUAUUAUUUGUUUAGAGUGAUUUUAUUGUUUGUUGUUAAUUUCAACAUACAUGAGGAUACAGACAGCUAUUUUGAAGAGAACAAGAGAGAUUAGUGCAGCCAUUGUUAAUUUCCCUAUUGUCUGAUUUUGAAGGCCUAUAAUGCCUUUAUCAUUGUGUUCUGAUCAGUUUAAUACUAUUUUGUUGUGCAUGAAUUCAUUGUGUGUGAAGAUAUGGACAACUGUUUAGAAGAAAACAAUAGACACUAUGAUAGCCAAUGAUGAUCUCUUGUCUUGCUUUGAAAUUUGUGUUACUUACAUUGUUUUCUUCUGAUCUGCUUUGUUCUGUUUUCUUAUGCUUAGUUUUACCCUCUUUAAAAUAAAAAGUUAAAAAACUUA